GCAGGGAUGGUUCAGCCGUAGAAUUCUUGCCUUCCAUGUGGGAGAUCCAGGUUCAAUUCCUGGCUAAUGUG
rnacentral:tRNA from 1 species